UACAGAGGGGGCAAGCGUUGUUCGGAAUUACUGGGCGUAAAGGGCGCGUAGGCGGCCCGCUAAGUCGAACGUGAAAUCCCCGGGCUCAACCCGGGAACUGCGUCCGAUACUGGUGGGCUCGAAUCCGGGAGAGGGAUGCGGAAUUCCAGGUGUAGCGGUGAAAUGCGUAGAUAUCUGGAGGAAUACCGGUGGCGAAGGCGGCAUCCUGGACCAUUACUGACGCUGAGGCGCGAAAAGCUAGGGGGAGCAAACGGGG
rnacentral:rRNA from 1 species